ensembl:rRNA 5S_rRNA 5S ribosomal RNA
GUCUACGGCCAUACCACCCUGAACACGCCCGAUCUCGUCUGAUCUCAGAAGCUAAGCAGGGUCGGGCCUGGUUAGUACUUGGAUGGGAGAAAAGUAAAAGAAAAUAACAAAUUCCUUUUGUCA